rnacentral:rRNA from 1 species
UACGGAGGGGGCAAGCGUUGUUCGGAAUUACUGGGCGUAAAGGGUGCGCAGGCGGCGUCACCAGUCAGAUGUGAAAUCCCCGGGCUCAACCUGGGAACUGCAUUUGAUACUGUGAUGCUAGAGUUCGGGAGAGGGUAGUGGAAUUCCCAGUGUAGAGGUGAAAUUCGUAGAUAUUGGGAAGAACACCAGUGGCGAAGGCGGCUACCUGGACCGAUACUGACGCUGAGGCACGAAAGCGUGGGGAGCAAACAGGAUUAGAUACCCGUGUAGUCC